GUGGUGGCUCAGAGGUAGAGUGUUUUCCUGGUACAUGUGAGGCCCUGGGUUCAAUUCUCAGCACCACA
rnacentral:tRNA from 1 species